rnacentral:rRNA from 1 species
GAUUUUCUUAGUAACGGCGAGUGAAAAGAAAAAAGCCCAGCGCUGAAUCCAAAAUAAUUUUUAUGAUUAUUUGGAGUUGUAGCGUAUAGGUGUAGUAUAAUUUUAAUCAUUUCAUUGUCUUAUACCCAAAGUCCCCUUGAGCGGGGCAACAGUCCAUAGAAGGUGCUAGACCUGUACGGGUAAAGUUUGAAAUGAUGUAUACUAUUCCUUGGAGUCGGGUUGUUUGAGAUUGCAGCCCAAAGAGGGUGGUAAACCUCAUCUAAGGCUAAAUACGACCACGAGACCGAUAGCAAACAAGUACCGUGAGGGAAAGUUGCAAAGAACUUUGAAGAGAGAGUUCAAGAGGGCGUGAAACCGCUGAGAUGGAAACGGAUAGAGUUAACAAAACUUUACUCAUAUUCAGCCAAUUUUUAUAGCUCAUUUAUUGCAAUUAUUUUGUAUGAAAUGUAUGCAAGUACAUGUAAGUGCAAAUGUAUUGCAAAAUAAGUGUAUCAAAAGAUAUAAAAAAUUGGUGUAUUUAUGAGUAGUAUGCAUCGAGUACUUCGUUUUAAUGCAUAAAGAGUAUAUAAUUUAGAGGACUAUUGUGUAAAAAUUUAUGCAAAUAAAUUUUUAAAUAGAAACCUGAAUUGUAUAUGAAAUAUGUCAAUAAUGAAGUAUGAUAACCAUCAUUGCUUGUAAUGUAUUUGUAAGGCUAUUAUUAGCAAGUAUUUAAUGUAUAAUAAUUAACAAGUGAUGUAGCAUUAAUCGCAUGCGAUUAUGUUAACAAAAAUAUUGUUGAUGAAUACAUUUAAAUGCAUGUAUCAAAUAUGCUUAAUAGCUGUUAUAAAACAAAUACAUGUGUAUCGUAAUGAUAAAC